GUAGGUGAACCUGCGGAAGGAUCAUUAGUGAAUUGAAUAUGUUAGCGGACCUCUUCGGAGUCCCUAGCAUCAAAUCGUAUCCAUAACACCUGUGAACUGUAAGGCUGUCUUGAAAACGAAAGUGAUUAGAGCGCCUGCCCAUUUUAUACAAACAUUAAAGUAACAAACGUAGUCUUAUUAUAAUCUAAUAAAACUUUCAACAACGGAUCUCUUGGCUCUC
rnacentral:misc_RNA from 1 species